GCGGUCGUGGUGGAAUGGCAGACACGCUAUCUUGAGGGGGUAGUGUCCCUAGGACGUGAGAGUUCGAGUCUCUCCGACCGCA
rnacentral:tRNA from 1 species